CAACUGUCCUAUGGACCGGGAUAACCUCGGGAAACUGAGGCUAAUCCUGGACAAGGCUUCCACUCUGGAACGAGGGGAGCUGGAAAGGCUCACGCGCCAUAGGAUGUGGCUGCGGCCGAUUAGGUAGACGGUGGGGUAACGGCCCACCGUGCCGAUAAUCGGUACGGGUUGUGAGAGCAAGAGCCCGGAGACGGAUUCUGAGACAAGAAUCCGGGCCCUACGGGGCGCAGCAGGCGCGAAAACUUUACACUGCACGCCAGUGCGAUAAGGGGACUCCGAGUGCGAGGGCAUAUAGUCCUCGCUUUUGUACACCGUAAGGUGGUGUACGAAUAAGGGCUGGGCAAGACCGGUGCCAGCCGCCGCGGUAAUACCGGCAGCCCGAGUGAUGGCCGCUGUUAUUGGGCCUAAAGCGUCCGUAGCCGGCCAGACAGGUCCGUCGGGAAAUCCAUCCGCUCAACGGAUGGGCGUCCGGCGGAAACCAGCUGGCUUGGGGCCGGAAGACCCGAGGGGUACGUCCGGGGUAGGAGUGAAAUCCCGUAAUCCUGGACGGACCGCCGGUGGCGAAAGCGCCUCGGGAAGACGGACCCGACGGUGAGGGACGAAAGCUAGGGUCACGAACCGGAUUAGAUACCCGGGUAGUCCUAGCUGUAACGAUGCCGCUA
rnacentral:rRNA from 1 species